AGGGAAUCUUCCACAAUGGACGCAAGUCUGAUGGAGCAACGCCGCGUGAGUGAAGAAGGCUUUCGGGUCGUAAAACUCUGUUAUUGAAGAAGAACGUGUGUGACAGUAACUGGUCAUGCAGUGACGGUAUUCAAUCAGAAAGUCACGGCUAACUACGUGCCAGCAGCCGCGGUAAUACGUAGGUGGCAAGCGUUGUCCGGAUUUAUUGGGCGUAAAGCGAGUGCAGGCGGUCUUUUAAGUCUGAUGUGAAAGCCUUCGGCUUAACCGAAGAAGGGCAU
rnacentral:rRNA from 1 species